rnacentral:rRNA from 1 species
GAUGAACGCUAGCGGCAGGCUUAAUACAUGCAAGUCGUGGGGCAGCGCAGUGUAGCAAUACAUGGGCGGCGACCGGCAAACGGGUGCGGAACACGUACACAACCUUCCUUCAAAUGGGGAAUAGCCCAGGGAAACUUGGAUUAAUACCCCGUAACAUUAUGAGGUGGCAUCACUUUAUAAUUAUAGCUCCGGCGUUUGGAGAUGGGUGUGCGGCUGAUUAGGUAGUUGGCGGGGUAACGGCCCACCAAGCCUUCGAUCAGUAACUGGUGUGAGAGCACGACCAGUCACACGGGCACUGAGACACGGGCCCGACUCCUACGGGAGGCAGCAGUAAGGAAUAUUGGGCAAUGGACGCAAGUCUGACCCAGCCAUGCCGCGUGGAGGAUGAAGGUCCUCUGGAUUGUAAAC